rfam:Schistosoma curassoni strain Dakar, Senegal genome assembly, scaffold: SCTD_scaffold0000112
AUCCAACUGAUGAGUCCCACAUAAGACGAAACGCUCAUCAAACUAGAU